rnacentral:rRNA from 1 species
CUUGGUCAUUUAGAGGAAGUAAAAGUCGUAACAAGGUCUCCGUAGGUGAACCUGCGGAGGGAUCAUUACAAGUUGACCCCGGUCCUCGGGCCGGGAUGUUCACAACCCUUUGUUGUCCGACUCUGUUGCCUCCGGGGCGACCCUGCCUCCGGGCGGUGGCCCCGGGUGGACACUUCAAACUCUUGCGUAACUGCAGUCUGAGUAAAUUUAAUUAAUAAAUUAAAACUUUCAACAACGGAUCUCUUGGUUCUGGCAUCGAUGAAGAACGCAGCGAAAUGCGAUAAGUAAUGUGAAUUGCAGAAUUCAGUGAAUCAUCGAAUCUUUGAACGCACAUUGCGCCCCCUGGUAUUCCGGGGGGCAUGCCUGUUCGAGCGUCAUUUCACCACUCAAGCCUCGCUUGGUAUUGGGCGACGCGGUCCGCCGCGCGCCUCAAAUCGACCGGCUGGGUCUUCCGUCCCCUCAGCGUUGUGGAAACUAUUCGCUAAAGGGUGCCGCGGGAGGUCACGCCGCAAAACAACCCCAUUUCUAAGGUUGACCUCGGAUCAGGUAGGGAUACCCGCUGAGCUUAAGCAUAUCAAUAAGCGGAG